CUAGUCUUCCAACAACUGAAGCAGCUCUCCUCUUGAUGUAAGCGAGUAAAUUAGGGCUUCCUUUACUUUUCUUUCUAUCUAUUACUCUCUCGCGAGAUCUAUAGUUAUAGAUUGGUUCUACAACAGGUUGGACUAGGGUCUGGAUCAUCAAUAGCGAAGGAGAAUAUCAGAUCUCGAGGUGUGGUGGUUCAGUUUAACGAGCAGAAGGGUUACGGAUUCAUAAAACCAGACGACGGCGGCGACUAUCUGACUCCUCACCUAGCUAAGCCAUACCGGAAACUUCCUUGUUUUCUUUAUCUCUUCACCUGACUCCUCACCUAGCUAAGCCAUACCGGAAUUUCUCCUCUUGCUUGUUGCACUCGCUAACUUCUCCAACUCUUCAGUCUGUGUACCUAAGGAAUAACUUGCCUCUUUCUAUAUGAGUUAAGUUAUUCGAAGUUAACCUUUUCCAGUCCAGUAGCAAGAAGUCUUCAAGCAUCCGAAUUGAUUUCAAGUAUAAAGAAUAAGAAACCAAGUGUUAGAAGGUAUGGUAUCUUAUUAUGCUUAUAUUGUAUUGUUGUGGGUUAAAUGGUUGAAUUAUUGUAAUUCGUAAGACAAUUGAUAAGCUUAAUUUUCAUAGCACUUGACCAUGCAUAGGUUAUUAAAAACUCACUGUUAGUUUGUUGAUAUCAAACCUUUAAAAUAAUGAAAGGUUAGUAGGUAUUUAAUUAUUGCUCACAGUCAAUAUGUUUGGUUUAACUGUGAAACCAACUGCUAUUGGACUGGAAUAGAACAAAGGAGAAUAGGUUGGGUUGUGUGGAGCAAUAAGGGAGC
rnacentral:lncRNA from 1 species